rnacentral:rRNA from 1 species
CGUUGAUUACGUCCCUGCCCUUUGUACACACCGCCCGUCGCUACUACCGAUUGAAUGGCUCAGUGAGGCUUUCGGACCGGCCCAGGAAGAGUGGCAACACUCAUCUAGGGCCGGAAAGUUGUUCAAACUUGGUCAUUUAGAGGAAGUAAAAGUCGUAACAAGG